rnacentral:tRNA from 1 species
CCCCGUUUGAGCAGCUCGAUCUUGCCGCCACCGCCCUCCUCGGCCGGGGUGCCGUAGACCUCGACGGUCAGGCCGAGCUCGUCGGCCAGCGGCGC